UAUAAAGGUAUUUAUGUAAAAGAAAAUCCAAUUUAAAACUAGUCCAGGUACAUUAGUGAUUCUAUAUCCCAUAGAAAUGUGUAAAUUGCCUGGCUCGGAUCAAGUAAAAACAAAUCCAAAUGCGUAGCGUUUAGUUAAAACAAUCAUGCUUUACCUUCAAAAGAUAAUGUCAUGUCGCAAAUUAUACAUUAUAAUAAAAGAAAAAUAAGAAAGAGAAAGUGCGGUUUCAAAUGAUGUUGUGCACUGCUUUUCCAUGG
rnacentral:lncRNA from 1 species